rnacentral:tRNA from 1 species
GCCAGGGUAGCUCAGCGGUAGAGCAGGCGUUCCAUAAGCGCCGGGCCGAGAGUCCGAUUCUCUCCCCUGGCA